UACAUAGGGGGCAAGCGUUAUCCGGAUUUACUGGGUGUAAAGGGUGCGUAGGCGGUUAGGAAAGUCAGAUGUGAAACCCCGUGGCUCAACCAUGGGCAUGCAUUUGAAACUUCUUGACUAGAGUACAGGAGAGGUGAGUGGAAUUCCUAGUGUAGCGGUAAAAUGCGUAGAUAUUAGGAAGAACACCAGUGGCGAAGGCGACUCACUGGACUGAAACUGACGCUGAGGCACGAAAGCGUGGGGAGCGAACAGG
rnacentral:rRNA from 1 species